GACGAACGCUGGCGGCAUGCCUAACACAUGCAAGUCGAACGGAGAAUUCCUUCGGGAAUUCUUAGUGGCGAACGGGUGAGUAACGCGUAGGCAACCUGCCCUUUGGAUGGGGACAACAUUCCGAAAGGAGUGCUAAUACCGAAUGUGACGAUUUUACCGCAUGGUUUAAUCGUGAAAGAUGGCCUCUACAUGUAAGCUAUCGCCAAAGGAUGGGCCUGCGUCUGAUUAGCUAGUUGGUGGGGUAACGGCUCACCAAGGCGACGAUCAGUAGCCGGUCUGAGGAGGAUGACGCANGUGGACUGAGACACGGCCAGACUCCGUACGGGA
rnacentral:rRNA from 1 species